GACGUAGGGCGCGAGCGUUGUCCGGAUUUAUUGGGCGUAAAGAGCUCGUAGGCGGCUUGUCGCGUCGUCUGUGAAAUCCCGCGGCUCAACCGCGGGUCUGCAGUCGAUACGGGCAGGCUAGAGUUCGGUAGGGGAGACUGGAAUUCCUGGUGUAGCGGUGAAAUGCGCAGAUAUCAGGAGGAACACCGGUGGCGAAGGCGGGUCUCUGGGCCGAUAUUGACGCUGAGGAGCGAAAGCGUGGGGAGCAAACAGG
rnacentral:rRNA from 1 species